rnacentral:rRNA from 2 species
UUCUGGCAUCGAUGAAGAACGCAGC